AGAUUAUGGUCGCCAUUACAAGAUGACGCUGGCUCCGCUGUGGUCUGUGACAAACAACUCCUUAUCUGGGAGAGUUGGCACAUGAUUUUUCACCACCCUGUGAGAAAGCUCCACGCGGCAGCUUUGCAUUGGGGCUUGGGAUGCUUUAUUAAGGCUGGGAGGGGCAUCCGAGAGGGAGAAGAAGAAAUAUCAAGGGCCUGAAUAAACUGCUGAAAGAAGAUUCCUGAGUUGCGUCUUCCUUGCGGGCAAGGGGUCGCGACAAGUGGUGCCGAAACCCGGGAACCAGAACUUUCAGCAGUCAGGGGUGGUGCACCGGUUAGUCCCAGAUUUUAUGAUUCCAGAAAUGCCUCCCACAUCAUCGGGGAGUAUCUAUCCGGAACCUGGUCCAUGGAAGCAGAAAACUUGAUCCAGUCUCAACUAACUCAGAUUGCUGUUUUGAACAGUACCCGUGUCGAUCCCGUGACUUUGGGGUGCUGUCAACUUGUUUGUCGUUAUAAACAGCCACAGUUCAGCCUCAGCUAUCCCCCUUCGUCCACCAUCGUCACGAUACAGGAUGCGAGGCAAGGCACUGCACUUGAGUGAUCCUUGACGUGGACCUCAAGGAGAGCAUGUCCUAUUGCAUGCGGGUUCGACGCGUCCACGCCCCGCCCCACGAAAAAAGGCGUCGGCUGAUAUGGCCUCAGAUCUGGGGAAGGGCCCUCCCUAGGACUGAGCCAUACUAUGCAGCCACUUCUGCACAGUGGGAUAGGACCUCUACUCUCGCCUGUAUUGUUUUAAGAAAACAGAAAGGGGGAACUGUGGUGAGCCGCUUCUGCCGUUUCUGCAGAUUAUGGUCGCCAUUACAAGAUGACACUGGCUCCGCUGUGGUCUGUGACAAACAACUCCUUAUCUGGGAGAGUUGGCACAUGAUUUUUCACCACCCUGUGAGAAAGCUCCACGCGGCAGCUUUGCAUUGGGGCUUGGGAUGCUUUAUUAAGGCUGGGAGGGGCAUCCGAGAGGGAGAAGAAGAAAUAUCAAGGGCCUGAAUAAACUGCUGAAAGAAGA